rnacentral:rRNA from 1 species
GCAAGUCGAACGAAGCCUUCGGGCUUAGUGGCGGACGGGUUAGUAACGCGUGGGAACGUACCCUUCUCUACGGAAUAGGCUCGGGAAACUGGGUUUAAUACCGUAUACGCCCUUCGGGGGAAAGAUUUAUCGGGGAAGGAUCGGCCCGCGUCUGAUUAGAUAGUUGGUGGGGUAACGGCCUACCAAGUCUACGAUCAGUAGCUGGUUUGAGAGGAUGAUCAGCAACACUGGGACUGAGACACGGCCCAGACUCCUACGGGAGGCAGCAGUGGGGAAUCUUAGACAAUGGGCGCAAGCCUGAUCUAGCCAUGCCGCGUGAGUGACGAAGGCCCUAGGGCCGUAAAGCUCUUUCGCCGGGGAAGAUAAUG